CCCACACCCCCAGCACCCCCAGCAGCACCCCCAUCACUCUCCCCAUGCCCCGCAACAGCAAGGCGGGCACCCCCGCCACCCACCCCCACACCACCGUGGAGGACCAGGGCCUGCCAGAGGACCCCCCCAUGCCGGCCACCGCCCCUCCCACGACCAGGAUGACGAGGAGGGCAUUUGGGCAUAAUCGUGUCCAUGAUGACAACCAAAGCUCUGACGUUCUGAGGGAUGAUUCAGUCACUAUUGGAAGAGCACAGCCAUGCCAUGAUGCUGAAACACAUUGACCAAACAUUUGUUACCGCCACACAAUCCACACUUCAAAAUGGGGCCUUUAUUUUUUACUGAGGAUGAUGAAGCAGGUGGGAGGGCCAGACGAAGACACUGAUAGUUGAGCAGAUGACUGAGGAGCCAUCAUGUGAAGAGCACUCUACAGACAUUAGAGAAACUGGUCAUCUCUUUGAGAGUGACUCUGUGGAGGAUGAGUGGCCCUACACAGACACAGAGGUGCUGUCUGUGAAGUUAGACUGGGUUGGACAGACUGGGUCCCCCUCAGACAGACACAGACAGACAGAUGAGCUGUCUGGUCUCAGCUCCGUGGUCCUGCUCACACAACCAAACUCACACAGCCGCUCUGGCCCAGUUGUGAAGCUGCACAGCUCCCCUGUCCGUCCGUCCCCAAUCUCACCAACCUGCAUCUAAUUGGUUCACUCUCCUGACUCCACCUUGCUUACCUGAGCUGCCCUGUUUACCUGAUUUGCCCCGCCCUAUUCAUCCCAGGCUGGCUCUGAUUGGCUCACCUGCCUGUCAGUCUCCUCCCUACUGACAGUAUUCACAGCACUUCGUUUACUCAUAUGUUGUUUUUUGUUGUUUUCUCUUUUUCAGAAAUAGCCUGCUCUCUUCCCACAUAUUUUAGGAAGUGUCAUACAGUUACAGCUUCAGUUAACUUUUAAAUUGUUGUGCUACUUGUUUUUAUCUUCUAAUUACCUUUUGUUGAGUGUGUUUCAUCUGCAGUACUUGACUAUGGCUAUGAUUGCUUUGUGUUAAGUGCAUCAGAACAAGGAAGAGGAACCAAUAGGCAGCCACUACAGCUCUUAUCAGACCAAUAGGCAGCCACUACAGCUCUUAUCAGACCAAUAGGCAGCCACUACAGCUCUUAUCUGACCAAUAGGCAGCCACUAAAGCUCUUAUCGGACCAAUGGGCAGCCACUAAAGCUCUUAUCGGACCAAUGGGCAGCCACUGGCCUUGCCUCUAGUACUGAAAGUUUACUUGUGCUGUUAAUGUGCAGUCUGGCAUGGCCUUAUGGGUAGGGCCCUGUAGUAGGGGUUUGCAGGGCCUUUGGGCUUAGGGCUGCCAACUGUGUAUCUAUCCUGUUACCUCGGUUGAUAACCAGACACAGUCAGAACUCCAAUCUAUGCAGACGUCAGAACUAAUAAUGCAGCUUUUAUCCAGUCAUGAGUCAAGGGCACCAAUCAAAAAGCAUUUAGAUGUCUUAAACCAGUACCAGUACCAAUCAGAAUGGUAUUUUCAGAACAUACACCAAUCAGAUUACAUGAUGGUGUGUUUCUCAACGUUAUAUGCACCUAUGCACCUCCUCCUCCCCUGUUUCAGGGAUACUUCUAAUGGUGCUUUUAGAUCACUGGUGCUCACAACAUGAUGUUCUACCAGAGACACAGCCAAGGGACAUGGCCAUUGGACAUUGUGCAACCAUGUCACUAAAUAGGGAUGUUGAUCCCAAAACCUGGCUUGCUUAUGAACUGUAGAAGACUGUAUUGUAUGUAGGAUCAGCUGGAGAGACUCUGAGAGAAUGGGACAGGAAUAUAUACAUUUAAUGCCAUCCAUGGGCACCCAGGUGUAUGAGAUUUCCUGCCAUACCUUUAUAGUCCUCUCUCCCUCCUCCCUCCUCUUCUUCAUCCUCUCGUCUCCUCCUUUCUUCUUCUCUUUCAGCAGUCAGUCUGUGCUAACCCAAACCCAAACCUAGUGACUCGUUCAUAUUGUAUACAUAUUAUAGAUAUAUAUAGAGAGAGAUCUAUAGUCUAUAUGUGGUCAGAAUACUGUGUCAGAAAAUAAUAUUGAGGAUAAAAAUACAUGGUUUUGUAUUUUUCAAACUGGCCUGAGGAUAAAAAAACAUUAAUUGUGUGGAGUAACAUUUGUGACUUUCCGCUGUUUUGUACAUUCCAAGAAAAACUUAGCAGCAAGUAACAUUCCCUGUAUGAAAACAGACUGGCUCUCACAAAGGAAAGUCUGGCCUAAGGAACCUUGAGACACAGUCCAAAGGAAAGAAAACCAUUCCAUUCUCAUUUAGAAGAGCUGUUACAUUCCUGUUGCAGUGUGAUAAAUAUUUUUUGAGACACACACACUCACUAUAGUAUCAAUGAGAUUAUUUCUGAAACUUGCACUUGGGAGUGAGGACUAUCACUACCAUCGUUAAAGUGGAGGUUUGGAGUGACUCCGUGGUUGCAGAUGCAUUAUCCAGACAGUCUCUGUGUUGUGUGUUUGUUUGUUGUCGUCGUCAAUGUCAUUGUCCCGGUGUAUCCAGAUGUGGUGACAUACGUGACAGUUGAGUGUGUAGAGAACAACAAAAACCCUUCCAUUGGCAAAACACUCCCCCUCCACCACUACCACCACUCCCCCUCCACCACUACCACUCCCCCUCCACCACUACCACCACUCCCC